rnacentral:rRNA from 1 species
AUUGAACGCUGGCGGCAGGCCUAACACAUGCAAGUCGAGCGGAUGAAGGGAGCUUGCUCCUGGAUUCAGCGGCGGACGGGUGAGUAAUGCCUAGGAAUCUGCCUGGUAGUGGGGGAUAACGUCCGGAAACGGGCGCUAAUACCGCAUACGUCCUGAGGGAGAAAGUGGGGGAUCUUCGGACCUCACGCUAUCAGAUGAGCCUAGGUCGGAUUAGCUAGUUGGUGGGGUAAAGGCCUACCAAGGCGACGAUCCGUAACUGGUCUGAGGGGAUGAUCAGUCACACUGGAACUGAGACACGGUCCAGACUCCUACGGGAGGCAGCAGUGGGGAAUAUUGGACAAUGGGCGAAAGCCUGAUCCAGCCAUGCCGCGUGUGUGAAGAAGGUCUUCGGAUUGUAAAGCACUUUAAGUUGGGAGGAAGGGCAGUAAGUUAAUACCUUGCUGUUUUGGCGUUACCAACAGAAUAAGCACCGGCUAACUUCGUG